CCUACGGGGGGCAGCAGUGGGGAAUAUUGGUCAAUGGGCGCAAGCCUGAACCAGCCACGCCGCGUGAGUGAUGAAGGCCUUCGGGUUGUAAAGCUCUGUGGGGAGGGAAGAAAACGGCCAGGAAGAAACGACUGGUCCUUGACGGUACCUCCUUAGCAAGCACCGGCUAACUCUGUGCCAGCAGCCGCGGUAAUACAGAGGGUGCAAACGUUGCUCGGAAUUACUGGGCGUAAAGCGUGUGUAGGCGGACCGGUGUGUCAGAUGUGAAAGCCUUG
rnacentral:rRNA from 1 species